CUACGGGUUGCAGCAGUGGGGAAUAUUGCGCAAUGGGGGCAACCCUGACGCAGCAAUACCGCGUGAAUGAAGAAGGUCUUCGGAUCGUAAAGUUCUGUUAUUGGGGAAGAAAAAAGACGGUACCCAAGGAGAAAGUCCCGGCUAACUACGUGCCAGCAGCCGCGGUAAUACGUAGGGGACAAGCGUUGUCCGGAUUUACUGGGCGUAAAGGGCACGCAGGCGGUUUUUUAAGUCAGAUGUGAAAGGUCCCGGCUCAACCGGGGAACGGCAUUUGAAACUGGAGAACUUGAGUAUUGGAGAGGCAAGUGGAAUUCCUAGUGUAGCGGUGAAAUGCGUAGAGAUUAGGAGGAACACCAGUGGCGAAGGCGGCUUGCUGGACAAAUACUGACGCUGAGGUGCGAAAGUGUGGGGAGCAAACAGGAUUAGAUACCCGGGUAGUC
rnacentral:rRNA from 1 species